rnacentral:sRNA from 1 species
CACAUGCACACACAUACACACACACAUACACAAACACACACACAUGCACACACACACACUCACACACAUACACAUGCGUAAAUCUGAUAGAACCCUGUGCUCUACUUGGGUUCCCCAGCUCCGAAAAAAAGAACCAAAAAAAAAAAACAAAAAAAACCAAAAUCUUAGUAAAACAAAAUUUCAUUUUAACAAGAGAGAGAAGGAAAGAAAAGGAUGGCUCCAGCCAUGGUUACACUUGUUUAAUUGUUAUUUAUUUGUUUUGUCUUAUUUUCUUUCUCUCAUUCAGACAGGGUCUCAUGUCGCCUGGACUGGCUUCCCACUCUCUAACCAGCCUUGUAGCUGAGGCUUGGCCUUGAACUCCUAAUCCUCCCAAGAGCUGAAAUUACAGGAGUGUGCUACCACACCCCUCUCUCAGUUGGUUUUUAGCAGAGUUUGAGCAAGGCAGAAUUUAAGACUCAAGGCGCUAACGCAAUCCUCUCUGGUUGCAGACAAGGAAGUUCAGCUUCUGUGUGCAGUAAGUCAGUCCUGGAGAGCGAGCAGACAUGGAAAUUCCAGUAUGGUCCUGCCAGUCUACUGAGUACGAGACAGGCUCUCGGGGCCUGCAUUCACAGCAGGAAAGCAAGGCUGAAAACACCCAGUGUGCAACUCCCUCAAACUUCACCAGACCACUCGGUGCUGCAAAGUCAAAUCACAGGGAGAGACAGCAGUCUGAGACGGGGGCGAAGGGAAAGGGUUAUUUAGGGGUUGUCAGCAUGGGCACACCAUCCCAGGCAGGUCUCUCAAAGUGGAACUGACUAAAUUGGCAACUUUGUAACCUAACACUGUAGGGUUGGUUGACUACACGGAGCAGGGUCCUAAAGCAAGUCUGGACAGGUAAAGUGCUGUGUACAGAGCAAGCUGUUCGCCUGUUGUCUUGGAUAAAUCACUGGGCGGAACGUAUGUUCUAAAGCCAACUGCCAGUUAUGUAUCGGUCCACAAUCAUCCCUUGGCGGAAGGGGGGGCCCCUGAAACAUUGUGAAUAACAUUUGGUAGAGAUCAGCGCUCACAGAGACGAGUCAUCAGUCAAGCACAUAGUCCAAGAGAGUUUAUCCAGUCCCGGGGAUAUAGAGUCCUGCUGAAACAUGACAGAAAAUCAGCAUGUCCCUCUACAAUGGCUUCCAGAUCUAGGACGAAGUCUUCUACCUUGCAGACCAGAUGCUCCCACCGCCCACUGUUAAACAAGUCUCCCCUUCUUCCAGCACUGGCAACUUAACUUAGCUACAGUAGAAAUUUCUAAGUCUCUUCUCCGUUCUGAAGAAAUUUUUUUCCCAUUUAUUUCCAAUUCUGGAUUACCUUCCAGGAUGGUGAGAGCAGGGGCUCCCAGGAUGCUGGGGAAUCAGCUUUCACUGGAGUCCUGAGUCUGACCUCAGAGGACAGACGUGGGAUCGGAAGGGAGAGGCUGGUCACAAGUGACCUAUGGACAGAGUUCUGGGACCAGAAGUUUUCACAUUGUUUAGUUUGAUGAUCUGAGCGUGAUUGGACCUACAUUCUCAUACUUGGCUGCUGGCCUCCUGCUCCCUCCCGUUUCCAACACCCUCGGGUGCUGCUUGGUGAAAUGACCCACUCCAUUUCAGACUCAUUCUCUGACCAGAGGUCAAGAUUUUGUUUCCCUUUCAGUAUUUAGCUGUCUGUCCUGAGCAGCUUUCUGACCUUGAGAAUUACCCAAGUACAAAUGGCAGGCUACCCCCGCUACAAGAGAGUGCUAUAAGUAAUUCCCGUUUUGGACAGUUCUUAGGGUUACAACUGUCCUAAUACAGGAAACAAAACCUCCUUGGCCCCCUUUCUCUUCAGAAAUGGCUCCUGACAGAGAGUGAGGGAGAAAUGGUCUCUGUUUCCAGUCAGUGGGGGUUUGGGAAAUUCUAUAUCCAGAAAUCUCAACAUAGAGGGGGUGAUGGCUGAACUACACCCCCUCUUAGAUUUUCUUCUUUUGCUUUUUUUCCCCUUUCCACUUUUGUGUGGUUUUAACUACCAAUGGCUUUCAACUAAUUGGUAUGUUCCUAGCAAGAAAAGAAAUUAUUAAAUUCUAACUGAAUGCCAAGGCCUGCAUUCAGGAAGGGAAGCACAGGGAUACCAACCUUGACACCAGGGACACUGAGUCCUAGAGGAGGAGGAGGAGGGGGAGGCAGAGGAACAGAAGGGGAAGAGGAGGUGGAGGAAAAGGAGGUAAAAUUCUAACUCUGUCUGAUUGCACCCCAUUUACUGUAGGAACCUAAAGAGAUCAAGAGAAAGCUAGUUGGGACAGGCGGAGAAACCAUCACCCACAUGCAUCCACAGUGAGCCGGAUCUUGGGUGCUGGCUGGUUUCUGCCAGGAGGAAAGAAGGGUGUUCCCAGCCCAGGAGCAGACAACUCAAAAGAGCAGGAUGUAUUUUGAAGACACCGGAAAAUCUGAAUGGCAUUACCAUAAGGUUUCCUUACAAAGAGGCAAAGGUCAGGGUGGGGAAGAGGUUUCGUAUCUUAUCGAGACCUUGGACUUCACUCUGUGAGGAAGAGAGUCCCCAAAAGUCGUAGGGUAGAGAAUGAACAAGUUGGGUUUCCGGUGCAUCAUGCACUCCCAAUGUGUGGCAGGUGGCCUGUUUUGUGGCUCCAGGCCGUGGGUCUGAACUGUGUGUGCCAGUAGAGAAGGCUGCUAAACAGAUAGGGAAGUAGCUUUGUGUCUCAGAGUGGGGCUAAAGUCAGGGGCAGUGUCUUCUUGGCCCUGUCAGAGUAGCUAGCUUGACCCUGCAGAGUAGUGCAUGUUGGGAGCUUCCUGGGAACAUUAAGGAAAGCAGCAGAAAGUAAGGCAGGAGUUGAGGGAAGGGAGUGAUUUAAUACAGUUUUUCUAUGGCUGUUCACAAAACAAUGGCAUCUCUUCUAGCAUCAGAAGACAUCGGUCUUAGAGAUCCUUCUUUAUAUCGAAUUCAAAUGCUGAUUAAUAUGCAAGAAAAAGCAGACUCUAGUUGCUAUUGAAUCAGCCCCAGACGCACACCAGCCACUGUCCUUCCAGCCUUCCUGUUGGUCAUGCGGACACCAAGGACCUGCAAGUUUGAGUUCCGGCAUUGCCACUUUGUCAUCUUCAAACUGAGGGAGAGCUGGAACAAGCUGCUUUGGAGGGAGGCAAGUCGUCAGUCCUCAUGCACUUGACCUUUGUUGAAUUAAACUACAAGGGACCCAGGAUCCCAACCUUCUGAGGACCGCCCCCUCCGCCCCUAUUCUAGCACCCAUCACAAGGCUGUUGUGAGAUGGUCAGGGAACCGGACUUCAGCUCUGACAGCAGCGCUUGAAGAAACAUCAUUGUGCUUUCUGUCUCCAGCUCUGUUGAGUAUGUAUGUAAUUGGUGAGAAUGGACAGACACAAGGACUACUGUUACUUCUCGAGGCUCCAAUUCCCAAGAAGACAUGGUGUUCAGCUGUAUCUUCGAAGAUGUACCCGUCCAAAGGGAGCUUGGUCUCCACGGGUUAGGCAUGCAGAGAGACACAGAUGUUCACGGACCCCCAACCCACCCGCAAGGCACACUGUCGUAAGUUCUCCGUCCUACCUAUAGAGCGACGGCUUGCCUUUAUUUAUUGCACUUGGAACCCUCCAAGGUUUCUUUUCUGACUUGAUCUCAUUUGCAUCUCAAAAAGAGAGAGAGAACAAGUUUGACUCCAAUUUUACCAGAGAGGAAACUGAAUCAUGUCCUUCCCAAACCCCCAGGAUACGAACCUUAGACUGGGGGCAGUGUUAGAGAAGGUGCCUUAAAAGAAGUAAUUACAUGAAAAUGGGGUCACUGGGGUGAGCUCUAAUCCAAUCUGACUGGUGUCUUUAUACAGAGAGAUUAGAGCACAAAUACAAACACCCAGGCAAGAUCACAUGAUCACACAGCGAGAGAUUCCUGCAAAGACAAGAGGGAGGCAGGCCCAGAAGAAGCCAACCUCUCCCCACCCUUUUGUCCACAAGUCUUGGUUUUCAGUACGGGAAGAAAACUCUAUUUUAAGCCACCUGAUCCUCGGUAUUUUAUCAUGGCUGCCAUGCGGACUACUACGGAUUCCCAGGUUCUGAAACUUCCCCAAGGUCUCACGCUUAGCGAGAGCCAGAGUGAACAUCAGUUCUCAAGUCUUACACCUUGUAAAUCCCUUAUGGAAUAAAAUAUUUUACAUAUGGAAACCAGUUCUGCCGCGUAGCUGGCGAUGUGCAGUGGCUCUCACUGACUGCCACGCUGUUUGAAUCGUAUUUAUAGCAAAAUGUCUCUACGCACGGGGGAAGGCGGUCCAGGGCUGCUGCCCUGUUCCGCGUAGUCCAUCCAUGGGAACGCUAAGGAAAGCUGUUUAUCUGUCCUGGUUUGUCCAGUGUCCAGUGUCUCAGCACCGGAAGGAGAAUGACAAGGUAAUAAACAAACAACCUGCUAUAUUCUGACAGAGCCAAGGCCAGUGAGAACAGCCUUCUGGCCAGCACACUUACACCCCCAGCACCCUCCCUACCCUGGGAGCCAGGCUCUGAUGUUGCUCUGUCCACUGCCUCUUGGUGACUCCAGUCUGUGGUCUUUUGCUUUGCAUUGGGACACGGAACUGAAACUCGGAUGUGAGCAGAGUUUUACAUGAGGAACCCAUUUCUCUCUUUCCUCCUUGCCUUGGGUUGGAGGCUCCAAACUGGGCUUAACCCCGGGAGGAAUGUUCUCAAACCACAAGGAACAAGACUUCCUCUGGCACAGAGUGGCCCCAGAAUGGGUGGCUGAGGAUCCCCUGUAUAUGGGCCCCAUCGUCCCCUCUCUGCCUACAGGGCUGUAGCUACAUUUGUCCUUCCUGGGAGUGAGGUAGGGGCAGGGAGUGAAGGCUGACUUUCCCAGCAGGCGGACAUCUAGCUAUCUGGCUAAGAUAGUAACUGUUGAAAGUGACAGUGACAUAGUCCAUACUCACAGACUCAACAGCAUGCUCCCUUUCGGGUUCUGGAGCCGGGCUCUGUCCUGCUUAAGGUCUACCAGACAUAAUGACAUUGCAUCCUGCCUGUCCCUAGGUCCAAAAGCUAAGGGUUCUGAGGACUCACGUUCUUGCUCAUUCAUUUAGAAAACGGGUUGGAUUCAUGAGAAGUCUGGGUGGCAUCUUCUUAUUGACAUCUUUGUAGCCUUCAGGAAGAUCAUUGGAUCCAUAUCAACAAACGCAUACACUUGGCAAUCGUCCCAAUAUACCAAUAAAAGCCAAUUUCCAAUCUGUGAUCUCCAUGCCAAGCGGUAGAGUUGGACCCUUGCCAGGACUAUGGCACGGUGACCCUGGAGUUGUGGGAAUCUUUUUUUUUUUUUUUUUGGUUCUUUUUUUUCCGGAGCUGGGGACCGAACCCAGGGCCUUGCGCUUCCUAGGUAAGCACUCUACCACUGAGCUAAAUCCCAUUUUCAUGAUUUCCACAGGAGAACUGCUCCGGCUCCCGGCGUCCCACAGCAGAGUACUUGUGUUUUCCAUUUGCUCCAAGUCUCUAGCUGUGUCUUAGGGAGGUGAUGGUGGCGUUGGCAAUGGAAUCAAGGGCCUUGACAAGUAAGUGUGCUCAGAAAGCACGCUACCAUCAAGUGAACUGCCUUUUGAACCCCACCCCACUAGACUUAUCAUCAAAGCUCCAGCAACGUUUCCAGCCAUACACGCAUGGGGACAGCUUCCUGAGGAAGAGUCCCCCAGAUUCAGGCCAGCAACGCAUCUGGAAGAAAGGGAGCAAACCAGGGCUGCUUUCUUCUGACUCAGCCCACCUGAGGGGGGUCGCAGAAGGGAGGCACCUGGAAGCCAGCAGUCGCCCAGGAAGAGGUCUGCUCCUGGAAAGUCUUCAAAGCCAGGUGAAGUGUAGCAUCCUGAAGGAAAAAGGAGGGCCGGGCAGUGGGCCACUCCGCAGGAAUCAAAGCCAGGGGCAGGGGAGAGGGUGUGGUGGGCUGCUGACAGAAAGAAGUGGCUGGCUGCUCGCUCCAAAGGGGACCUGUUCCCAGCUUGCCACUUGGAUGGCACCUUUCAAAGCCCUUCAGAGACACCAGGACAAAGGGAUGAGAGGCUCCGCAGUGAGGGUGCGGCACCUCCCCGUCUUUGAGCUCAGUGCAGCUACAGAGCCGCCCUUGGCCACUCUGUGCUCCCUCGCUGGUGUCCUUUGAUCCGCCGACUGCUCCAGCAGCCCUUUCGAGGAAGCCAGAGAAGGGGCGCCCAGCUCCCACCGGAGAGGAGGUAGGGUUUCUUUGAAAUGGAAUGACAAUCUUGUUGGCUUAACAGGAAGCUAUCCACCCCAAAGUUGGGUUUGUUUCUCACCUUCCCCCACCAAACCAAGAAGUAGGUCAAGCAGGUCAUUUGCAAGAAAGCGCCCUUCGUUCAAGCGACUCUCAUUCACAGAGAGGCUGGGUGGAUGGGCAUUGGUUGUUAUGUUAGAGGGUGAGAACGUAGUGCAUGCCCAUAGUGCAUGCCCAGACAGAAUGGUUCCUUAGGCAUAGCGUGAGAAGCCAAUGCCUGCCGCCUGCCUUGAAGUGUUCCUUCACAUUGUCUUAACGUUUAUGAGUCCUUUGCGGACCAGACCACACCUUUCUCUCCUGGCUGGUUCUGCUGGUUGUAACAGGUCAUUAAAACAGCUGUUUACAGACUGCUUGACCAUUCCCAUCUUGAACUCUUCCUGGACAGGAGACAGCUGCUCCUGAGUUUACAUGUUAAAUAAUAAAAUAAUAAUAAAUAAUAAUAAUAAUACCACCUUUUCCAGCUAGGCUCAUCUUCCAGAAAACAAAAGGUAGAGCCCUUUAAUAACAUCAUCCAGAUUCAAUUCAAACUAUCGUCUCAAAUUUUGGAGCACCAGCAACUCUGUUUAAUAUUCCAAAAGAAUGAUUUCUGAGACUAAGAGAUUACAGAUUGAGAGAGAAGUACAGUUGCUUGCUGGUCUUGGAGUCGGGAGGUUGAGAUGUGGGUCUGGCCAGUGUGGCAGGAAGAUGACAUCACGGUGGUUCAGGCAAAGUGCCCACAACAUGUCCUUUCUUCCAAAUGUCUCUCCUCAAGAGUAGGAAAUCAACUUCUCAAAAGUCGGGAAGCUCUCAGUGUUUUCUCGGUUAGAGUUGUCAAUAUGAAGCCACACUCACAAUGUGCUGUUUUGGGUUGGUGGCCUGCAGCUAGGACUGACCGCUCUAAAGGCUGUCUGUCGGUCACCUGACUCUGGAAGGCAAGGAGCACAGCUCACAUUUCAGAUACCUGAGGAUCCUGAAGACAGCCAGGUUGAUAAGCCUGAAGAGAGAUACUCCCAGGGUUGACUGGUGACAUGGGGCUGGUGGAUAACAUUCCUCUGCCAUCUAGUGGCGCUGGCCUAUACUUCCCUCUCAGAGAAACUUCUAGGGGCUCCCACACCCCGGCAGAGUGCCUAGAGUUUUAUUUCUUUCAUUCAGGUUGAGUUUUUUAAAUCAGCCAUCCUAAGAGUCAGUGAGACUGUUCAGGAAGUGAGGGCACUUCUUACGGAGCCUGGAUGCCUGAGUUUGAGCCCUGGAGCCACAUGAUCGAAGGAGCACACCUGUCUACUCCACAUGGUAGAGGGAGAGCGCCUGUCUACUCCACAUGGUAGAGGGAGCGCACCUGUCUAGUCCACAUGGUAGACGGAGAGCGCUUGUCUACUCCACAUGGUAGAGGGAGAGCGCCUGUCUAGUCCACAUGGUAGAGGGAGAGCGCCUGUC